GAUGAACGCUAGCGGUAUGCCUAACACAUGCAAGUCGUACGAGAGUUUUUAACUCUAGUGGCGGACGGGUGAGUAACACGUGAGAAUUUGCCUUUAGGAGGGGGAUAACAAUUGGAAACGAAUGCUAAUACCCCAUAUGCUUUUGAGUGAAAUGGAUUUUAUCCGCCUAGAGAGAAGCUCGCGGCUGAUUAGCUUGUUGGUAAGGUAAGAGCUUACCAAGGCGACGAUCAGUAUCUGGUUUGAGAGGACGAUCAGACACACUGGAACUGAGACACGGUCCAGACUCCUACGGGAGGCAGCAGUGGGGAAUUUUCCGCAAUGGGCGAAAGCCUGACGGAGCAAUACCGCGUGAGGGAAGAAUGCCUAUGGGUUGUAAACCUCUUUUUCAGGGAGGAAUAAAAUGACGUGUACCUGAAGAAUAAGCAUCGGCUAACUCCGUG
rnacentral:rRNA from 1 species